CCACUAUUUCCGCUCUUUCUCCGAAAGAGACCGCCAUCUCGAACUAGAGACAUCAUAAUGGGCUACAUGAGGACUUUGAAUGGAUGCCGCUCACAUGUAUGGUGAAGGAUUGGCCUGGGCCAAAAAUAUUCAAGACCCUCGGAUUGCAGUAGGUUCCCACUCCCCAU